rnacentral:rRNA from 1 species
CGUAGGGUGCGAGCGUUAAUCGGAAUUACUGGGCGUAAAGGGUGCGCAGGCGGCGUCGCAAGUCAGGCGUGAAAUCCCCGGGCUUAACCUGGGAACUGCACUUGAAACUACGAUGCUGGAGUAUGGCAGAGGGAGGUGGAAUUCCACGUGUAGCGGUGAAAUGCGUAGAGAUGUGGAGGAACACCGAUGGCGAAGGCAGCCUCCUGGGCCAAUACUGACGCUCAUGCACGAAAGCGUGGGGAGCAAACAGGAUUAGAUACCCUGGUAGUCCACGCCCUAAACGAUGAUGACUAGUUGUUGGAGGAGUUAAAUCCUUUAGUAACGCAGCUAACGCGAGAAGUCAUCCGCCUGGGGAGUACGGUCGCAAGAUUA